rnacentral:rRNA from 1 species
GACGUACGUCUACGAGAGGUAUUAGACUCGUGGUCAGGACGAACGCUGGCGGCGUGCCUAACACAUGCAAGUCGAACGGAGAUACGAUUCGGUUGUAUCUAGUGGCGAACGGGUGAGUAACGCGUGAGCAACCUGACUCUUAGAGGGGGAUAACACUGGGAAACGAGUGCUAAUACCGCAUAAGACCACGACAUGGCAUCAUGACGAGGUCAAAGGAGCAAUCCGCUGAGAGAGGGGCUCGCGUCCCAUUAGAUAGAUGGCGGGGUAACGGCCCACCAUGUCAACGAUGGGUAGCCGAGCUGAGAGGCUGAUCGGCCACACUGGAACUGAGACACGGUCCAGACUCCUACGGGAGGCAGCAGUGGGGAAUAUUGGGCAAUGGGGCCGCAAGCCUGACCCAGCAACGCCGCGUGAGGGAAGAAGGCUUUCGGGUUGUAAACCUCUGUCCUUGGUGACGAAACAAAUGACGGUAGCCAAGGAGGAAGCCCCGGCUAACUACGUGCCAGCCGCGGC